ACACAGCCACUAAUUGGUUGGCAAUGGUACCGGAGGAACUUGUUGCCUUGAAACGAACUAAUGAAAACAUCAAAGAUCCUUUAUUCCGAUUCUUUGAACGCGAGGUAAAUGUUGGGAUAGGAUUGCUUACAACGGUCCGUAGUGAUCUACAAAAUGUUAUUGGCGUU